GAAAAAGUGAAUAUUAUUGGUUUAAUAGUUAAAUGUUCCGUUUUAUUAAAAUGAUUUAUUUUUAGGUGAAAUUUAUAAUUUUUAUUUAAUUUUAUUUGAUUGAAACUAUGAAAUUCAUAUUAAAGACAAGGAUUAGAUACCCUAUUAUUUUGAAUGUAAAUGAUUAACUUGGGUAGUAAUAGUGUAAGUUCUUGAAACCCAAAGGAUUUGGCGGUAUUUUAGUCCUUUCAGAGGAAUCUGUCCCAUAAUCGACAGCCCACGAUUAGAUUUACUUAAUUUUGUAUAACCAGUUUGUAUACCUCCGUCAUAAGAGUAUCUUUUUAGAGAUAAAUUUUCUUGAUAUACUAAAUAUAAAAUGUCAGGUCAAGGUGCAAUUUAUGAUUAAGUGGAGAUGGAUUACAAUAAAUUUAUUUAAAUGGAUUAGAUUGUUUAAUUUUUUAUGAAGGUGGAUUUGAUAGUAAAAUUAAUAUAUAAUUAUUUUGAUUUAGGCUCUAAAAUAUGCACACAUCGCCCGUCGCUCUCAUUAUUAAAAUGAGAUAAGUCGUAACAUAGUAGAUGUAUCGGAAGAUGUAUCUAGAAAGAU
rnacentral:rRNA from 1 species